AAAAAUUUAGUUAAAUAUUAUAACAUUAGCUUGUCAGGCUAAAAUCAUUUUAAAAAUAAUAAUUUUUA
rnacentral:tRNA from 1 species